rnacentral:rRNA from 1 species
UGCACCUACGGGGCGCAGCAGUGAGGAAUAUUGGUCAAUGGGCGGGAGCCUGAACCAGCCAAGUCGCGUGAGGGAAUAAGGCCCUACGGGUCGUAAACCUCUUUUGCCGGGGAGCAAGGGCCGGGACGCGUCCCGGCCCGGAGAGUACCCGGAGAAAAAGCAUCGGCUAACUCCGUGCCAGCAGCCGCGGUAAUACGGAGGAUGCGAGCGUUAUCCGGAUUUAUUGGGUUUAAAGGGAGCGUAGGCGGGCUUUUAAGUCAGCGGUAAAAAUUCGGGGCUAAACCCCGU